GACGAACGCUGGCGGCGUGCCUAACACAUGCAAGUCGAACGAAGCAUAGCAAUAUGCUUAGUGGCGGACGGGUGAGUAACGCGUGAACAAUCUGCCCUGUACAAAGGAAUAGCCUCGGGAAACCGGGAUUAAAACCGUAUGACACUUUAGUAUCGCAUGAUAAGAAAGUCAAAUCGAAUAGAGGUAUGGGAUGAGUUCGCGUCUGAUUAGCUGGUUGGCGGGGUAACGGCCCACCAAGGCGACGAUCAGUAGCCGGCCUGAGAGGGUGAACGGCCACACUGGAACUGAGACACGGUCCAGACUCCUACGGGAGGCAGCAGUGGGGAAUAUUGCACAAUGGAGGGAACUCUGAUGCAGCGACGCCGCGUGAGUGAAGAAGGUCUUCGGAUCGUAAAACUCUGUCCUUGGUGAAGAAAAGGACGGUAGCCAAGGAGGAAGCCCCGGCUAACUACGUGCCAGCAGCCGCGGUAAACGUAGCGUG
rnacentral:rRNA from 1 species